UACGUAGGGUGCAAGCGUUGUCCGGAAUUAUUGGGCGUAAAGAGCUCGUAGGCGGUUUGUCGCGUCUGCUGUGAAAAACUCGGGGCUUAACUCCGGGCCUGCAGUGGGUACGGGCAGACUAGAGUGCGGUAGGGGAGACUGGAAUUCCUGGUGUAGCGGUGAAAUGCGCAGAUAUCAGGAGGAACACCGGUGGCGAAGGCGGGUCUCUGGGCCGUAACUGACGCUGAGGAGCGAAAGCGUGGGGAGCGAACAGG
rnacentral:rRNA from 1 species